UACGUAGGGUGCAAGCGUUAAUCGGAAUUACUGGGCGUAAAGCGCGUGUAGGCGGCCCGGAAAGUCGGAUGUGAAAGCCCUGGGCUUAACCUAGGAAGUGCAUUCGAAACUGCUGGGCUUGAGUUCUGGAGAGGAAGGCGGAAUUCUCAGUGUAGAGGUGAAAUUCGUAGAUAUCGAGAGGAACACCGGUGGCGAAGGCGGCCUUCUGGACAGUGACUGACGCUGAGACGCGAAAGCGUGGGGAGCAAACAGG
rnacentral:rRNA from 1 species